CUCUCUGGCCUUUGAUGUUUGAGUCUUUGGGGACACCGUGAUUGCAUCGCAUGGUGUCAGCUUUCUGUCGCUCCGGGGAAUUCCCAGGUUUCUGCAAGACUUUCCCUAUUAAAGUCCCCUGGUUUUGCUCCCCCUGUCCUCCUCUUGGGUGACUUCCAGACUUCAGGUAUGGGGUUUUUGAGAGCUCGUGCCUCUGCUGUGGUUUUGGUGCUGUCUGCUCUUGAGGCCUGGGCCCUGGACAGCUACAUUGCAGCCGUCUAUGAGCACAGUGUGCUCUUGUCAGAGGACACUGAAAAACCUACUUCUCCUGAGGAGGCUUUGAUGCUGAUGGACAGAAACAUGGAUGUUUUGGAAGUGGCCAUCAAAGAAGCAGCCAGACAGGGUGCCCACAUCGUUGUGACUCCUGAAGAUGGCAUUUAUGGCUGGGUGUUCACAAGGGAGACGAUAUACCCUUAUCUUGAAGGUAUUCCAGACCCACAGGUGGACUGGAUUCCAUGUGCUGAUCCUGAAAGAUUUGCUCCUUCACCAGUGCAGAAAAGACUGAGCUGCCUGGCAAGGAAUAACUCCAUCUAUGUGGUUGCAAAUAUGGGAGACAAGAAGCCGUGUAAUUCCAGUGACCCAAGGUGCCCAGCUGAUGGUCACUACCAGUACAAUACCAACGUUGUCUUUGAUUCAGAAGGGAAACUGGUGGCUCGUUAUCACAAGUAUAACCUUUUUGUGACAGAGAAACAAUUUAAUUAUCCCAAGUAUCCAGAAUUUGUGACUUUCAAUACAUCCUUUGGAUAUUUCGGCAUUUUUACUUGUGCAGACAUACUCUUUCAUGACCCAGCUGUGGUCCUGGCAAGCAGAUUUCAGGUUGACACAAUUCUAUUCCCAACUGCUUGGGUUAAUACUCUUCCACUUCUGUCGGCUGUCCAGUUUCACUCAGCAUGGGCUAUGGGAAUGGGUGUCAACUUUCUUUCGGCAAAUACACGUAACUCCACUUUAGAUAUGACAGGGAGUGGUAUUUAUGCCCCAGAUGGUCCAAGAACAUAUUAUUAUAAUACUGAAACAGAAAAUGGUCACCUACUUGUGAAAGAGCUGAGUUCACAUCCACGUCGGUCUCCUGGCUAUCCUCCUGCCGUUAACUGGAAGUUGUAUGCCAGCAGUAUCAAAUGGCUUCCAUCAAAUGACCACUAUUUCAGUGGUGUCAUUUAUCAUGAUCUCUUCUCUUUCACUGAACUCACUGAACCUGAGGGAAAUCGUGCUAUUUGCCAGAAGGACCUCUGUUGCCACCUGAGUUACAAGAUGACAGAGAAGCAGAAAGAUGACAUUUAUGUUCUAGGUGCCUUUGAUGGACUACAUGUUGUUGAAGGAGAGUAUUAUCUGCAGGUAUGCACACUGCUCAAGUGUAGGAGCACAGACCUGAGCACGUGUGGACAGCCGGUGGAGACUGCACAGACCAAGUUUGACAUGUUCUCCCUCAGCGGCACGUUUGGCACUAACUAUGUCUUUCCAGAGAUCUUGUAUAGUGGAGUGCAGCUGGCCCCUGGGGAAUUUGAGGUACUAAGUGAUGGACGUGUGAUAAGCCGGACUGGUACAUCUGAGCCAGUUUUGAGUAUAACGCUCUUCGGGAGAUGUCAGACCACUUAUCCUUGGGGUACUCAGCCUCCUGACCUGUCUGCAGUGGGGAGUAAAACAAACCCCCCAUGAUUCAUGUGGAAAUAGAGACCUGCUGCUCCACCUGGACUGUCACAAGCUAUGUAAUGGAUACAACGGAGGUUUUUCCAUGCAAAGAUUAGCACAUGAGGAGUCAUUUUCCAGGCAGCUUCUCUCAGCACAAGGAGCAGGACCACGAUCUGAAGAUGCACUGCCUCUUUGGCUAAGCUGACAGCACCGAAUUGCACCCUGUGUCACCAAA